GGGUGAUACAAUGCUUUAUUUAUUGGAUUCAUUAAUGCAGUCUCAGGAAAAAUAGCGUUGAAGUUAGGUAAGCGGGAGUAGAUCGUUAAGGAUGAGUUCAGUGGAGCCAUGUGGGAGACAGAAUUCCUGCACGGAGCCCAAGCCCGCCUGUGCUGAAAUGGCUGUGUGUGAAACACUGUCCUGAGACCACAGGGGGUGAUAUUUAAUGAAAGCUUUUAUGAAGACAUUAGUGACAUAUUGGGGGAAGGGGGGAAAGCCAACAACUCUUAAACAUAAAGAAUGGUAAGAAGAAAGCAAGUAAGCCUAGAGCUGGCUGAGUGUCUUACAUGUUAAAUGUACCCCCUAGCUGAGAUCAGCGUUGUCCCCAAAACAUUUCCUGUAAGCCUGUUUCAUACAAGUGCUGCAGCCUGCUUUUACUAUGUCUUCAGCUGAACAGGAAACUGAAAUUACACCACAGCAGUGAUAAAUGCUCUGACUUUUGGAACUCUUCUGCGCUUGUAUUUGCAAUAAGAUUCUCAUUGUUAUUCCUCACUUUCAUGAAGGUCUCAGCAUCCACAUAACCUGUAAGCACCUAUCUUGUCAAUCUUUUAUCUUUUCGUGGAGAAAUCUGUAU
rnacentral:lncRNA from 1 species